CGCUCGGAGAAGCGCUAACGGGACAGCGGUCCAGGCCAAUCGCAGUCAGGCCUGCGGAGCAGCGAGGCCAGGGUGGAGACUUCGGAGACUGCAGUUGCAGAACUUCCAGUACUAUGUUGAAUAGUGGUGAGAGUGGACAACCUUCUCUUGGUCCUGAUAUUAGAGGAAAACCUUUCAACCUUUCACCGUUGAGUUUGAUUUCUAAGAACAAAGGAAAUUGGCUAUGGAUAAUUCAUAUCAUUUCAAUCAACGAAACUCAUGUAACGGACUUCCAUCUGAGAAGAAAAACAACUUCCUUGUAUCCGAAGAUCAUGGACAGAAAAUUUUAAGUGUACUGCAGAAUUUUAGAGAACAAAAUGUCUUUUAUGAUUUCCAAAUAAUCAUGAAAGAUGAAAUAAUCCCAUGUCAUCGCUGUGUCUUAGCAGCGUGCAGUGACUUUUUCAGGUACUUCACUUGUAUGUCUGUGCCUCAGAUUCUGUGUUACUAUGUUUCAUAACUACUGAAUUUCUCCCCUACAGGAGCA